rnacentral:rRNA from 1 species
AAACCUGCGAAACUCGAAUGAACGAACGGAGAGAUUCAUCGCCAUUCCGCGGCGUACUAGCCCGCGCCUCGAUGCGCCGCGCCUCGGCGCGGACACGGGACGGGCGUGUCGACGUCCGCGGACGGCGUGCACUUCUCUCUCAGUAAACUACAACAUCGCGACCCGUUCGACGGCGUCACGGUCUAAGCGCGAUCCGGGAGCCGGGCGGCGACGUCUAAUAAACGCCAGCCGCUCGACCGCGAUCGUCGCCGACCCGCCUCGGACGGUAGUUUUAACUCGAAUCGCGCACGCGCCUCGCGCGCGUCAGGCCCGACGCAAGCGUUCGCGUCGUCGCCCGUUUCCUGCCUAUGCGCGGACGCGGGCGCGGCGCCGCUGCCGUCGCAGCCGGUACAGUCUUGACCGUGCGCGUUUCAGUCUGCGAUGUUUCAGUUUCGGGCACUCGCAGGAC